rnacentral:rRNA from 1 species
GAUGAACGCUGGCGGCGUGCUUAACACAUGCAAGUCGAACGGUGAAGCAGAGCUUGCUCUGUGGAUCAGUGGCGAACGGGUGAGUAACACGUGAGCAAUCUGCCCCUGACUCUGGGAUAAGCGCUGGAAACGGCGUCUAAUACCGGAUACGAGCUGCGAAGGCAUCUUCAGCAGCUGGAAAGAAUUUCGGUCAGGGAUGAGCUCGCGGCCUAUCAGCUUGUUGGUGAGGUAAUGGCUCACCAAGGCGUCGACGGGUAGCCGGCCUGAGAGGGUGACCGGCCACACUGGGACUGAGACACGGCCCAGACUCCUACGGGAGGCAGCAGUGGGGAAUAUUGCACAAUGGGCGAAAGCCUGAUGCAGCAACGCCGCGUGAGGGACGACGGCCUUCGGGUUGUAAACCUCUUUUAGCAGGGAAGAAGCGAAAGUGACGGUACCUGCAGAAAAAGCGCCGGCUAACUACGUGCCAGCAGCCGCGGUAAUACGUAGGGCGCAAGCGUUAUCCGGAAUUAUUGGGCGUAAAGAGCUCGUAGGCGGUUUGUCGCGUCUGCUGUGAAAACCCGAGGCUCAACCUCGGGCCUGCAGUGGGUACGGGCAGACUAGAGUGCGGUAGGGGAGAUUGGAACUCCUGGUGUAGCGGUGGAAUGCGCAGAUAUCAGGAAGAACACCGAUGGCGAAGGCAGAUCUCUGGGCCGUAACUGACGCUGAGGAGCGAAAGGGUGGGGAGCAAACAGGCUUAGAUACCCUGGUAGUCCACCCCGUAAACGUUGGGAACUAGUUGUGGGGACCAUUCCACGGUUUCCGUGACGCAGCUAACGCAUUAAGUUCCCCGCCUGGGGAGUACGGCCGCAAGGCUAAAACUCAAAGGAAUUGACGGGGACCCGCACAAGCGGCGGAGCAUGCGGAUUAAUUCGAUGCAACGCGAAGAACCUUACCAAGGCUUGACAUAUAGAGGAAACGUCUGGAAACAGUCGCCCCGCAAGGUCUCUAUACAGGUGGUGCAUGGUUGUCGUCAGCUCGUGUCGUGAGAUGUUGGGUUAAGUCCCGCAACGAGCGCAACCCUCGUUCUAUGUUGCCAGCACGUAAUGGUGGGAACUCAUGGGAUACUGCCGGGGUCAACUCGGAGGAAGGUGGGGAUGACGUCAAAUCAUCAUGCCCCUUAUGUCUUGGGCUUCACGCAUGCUACAAUGGCCGGUACAAAGGGCUGCAAUACCGUAAGGUGGAGCGAAUCCCAAAAAGCCGGUCCCAGUUCGGAUUGAGGUCUGCAACUCGACCUCAUGAAGUCGGAGUCGCUAGUAAUCGCAGAUCAGCAACGCUGCGGUGAAUACGUUCCCGGGUCU